UAUAUUCGCUGUACGCUCUGUUGGAGGCCGACUUGGAACCUCGGGCACGGUCAAAUCGUGCAAUCAGCGGUUUUCAGAAACUGCUGGGGACGUUACAUUUUUUGGCGUCAGGCACAUUCCAGCCUACACUGUCUCAAACAUGCGGUUUUUCUCAGUCGACACUGUCGCGCUGUAUAACCCAAGUCAUUAGGGCUUUCCGCAAAUUGACGAUCCAGUACAUCACAUUUCCAGAGACGGACAGCGAAUGUCGUGAGAUCAAAUUAGGCUUUUUCAACAAAUACAAAUUUCCCAAUGUGCUGGGCGCGAUUGACUGUACCCACGUGCAGAUCAGACCGCCACGGAAUUCAGAGGAAUGUUUUCGGAACCGAAAACAGUUCCAUUCCCUGAACGUGCAGGCGGUCUGUGAUGUAAACAUGAGAUUUUUGAACAUUUUUGUGGGAUUUCCUGGAUCAUCUCACGACUCCUUCAUCCUAAGCCAGUCAUCGCUGUUUGACAAGUUCGAAACAGGAAACAUGCCUGGUGGCUGGCUGUUAGGCGAUGCGGGUUAUCCAAACAAACCGUGGCUGUUGACCCCAUUGUCUAAUCCUGUUGGUAGAGCAGAAAAACGUUAAAAAGAGACACACAUUGCAUCGAGGGGAGUAAUUGAGCGUGCCUUCGGUGUACUUAAAAGCCGGUUUCGAUGUUUAGACACUUCCGGCGGUGCUCUUUUGUACUCACCGUCGAAGGUUUGCGGCAUGGUAAAUGCAUGUUGUAUUUUACACAACAUAUGUGUCGCAAACCGUUUGCCGGUGACUCUUCGUCGUAGUGCUUUCCUACGCGGGAACCGGUCUUCUGCUCUACCGGUGGGUAUGGGCGAAGGAGAGGAUUCCCGGCGGACAGUGAUACAAAAUUUUUUUGCAGUUACCUAGUUUUACAUCCUGUUGAUGUGUAUCCCCAGGCCGUGUUUAUACAGUUUGUUCCCCCCUGUUUUAUCCUGUUUGGUUACCGCAAAUAUUUGACCCUUUUAUCCAACUCUACCAUGGGCGACCUAAUGGUGAUGUGGACCUGACCCUCCGCCAUGUAGCAGACAACCCCCUCAGGUGAGAUGGAUUGCCCAGAACUCCCUUUGUCCAAAAUCACCCCGGCAUGUCCAAAGUGCAGCACUCCGGCAUUUGCAAGACUGCACAUCCAAACAUUCCCUC